GCAGUCGAGCGGUAGCACAGAGGAGCUUGCUCCUUGGGUGACGAGUGGCGGACGGGUGAGUAAUGUCUGGGAAACUGCCCGAUGGAGGGGGAUAACUACUGGAAACGGUAGCUAAUACCGCAUAACGUCGCAAGACCAAAGAGGGGGACCUUCGGGCCUCUUGCCAUCGGAUGUGCCCAGAUGGGAUUAGCUAGUAGGUGGGGUAACGGCUCACCUAGGCGACGAUCCCUAGCUGGUCUGAGAGGAUGACCAGCCACACUGGAACUGAGACACGGUCCAGACUCCUACGGGAGGCAGCAGUGGGGAAUAUUGCACAAUGGGCGCAAGCCUGAUGCAGCCAUGCCGCGUGUAUGAAGAAGGCCUUCGGGUUGUAAAGUACUUUCAGCGAGGAGGAAGGCGUUGUGGUUAAUAACCUUAACGAUUGACGUUACUCGCAGAAGAAGCACCGGCUAACUCCGUGCCAGCAGCCGCGGUAAUACGGAGGGUGCAAGCGUUAAUCGGAAUUACUGGGCGUAAAGCGCACGCAGGCGGUCUGUCAAGUCGGAUGUGAAAUCCCCGGGCUCAACCUGGGAACUGCAUCCGAAACUGGCAGGCUAGAGUCUUGUAGAGGGGGGUAGAAUUCCAGGUGUAGCGGUGAAAUGCGUAGAGAUCUGGAGGAAUACCGGUGGCGAAGGCGGCCCCCUGGACAAAGACUGACGCUCAGGUGCGAAAGCGUGGGG
rnacentral:rRNA from 1 species